UGCCGGAUCCGUAUUUUUUUUUUCCAUCGCAGCUUGCAGCGGUUUUGUGUCCGAUCACAAAACUAAAUGCUGACGGAACAGAAGACAUCCUGAUGCAUCCUGAACAGAUCUCUUUCCAUUCUCAAUGCAUGAGGACU